GUGUUAGAGGCGAAGAAAAAAUGUUAUCCACCCAAAGAUGACAUCACGAUUACUGAGAGUAAAACUGUGGUCAAACUUCAAGCACUGUUAGACCAUACAGCGAGUCGCAUUUUAGCAGUGCAAAGUGAAGUUUUGCAUCUCCUCCCAUCCAGCGAAAUUUAUAAAUUUAAUUUUGUCUGCAAAUGGGGAUACGACGGAACAUCUGGGCAAAGUACAUUCAAACAAAAAUUUGAUAAGGACGACGGAGAUAAAACAGACGCAACUAUUUUCUUCACUUCCCUCGUGCCACUGCAGCUCGUGUUUGUUGACGGGGGUGAUAACGAAGGAAUAAUCGUGUGAAAAAAUCCGCGACCCUCCUCCCCUCGAUUCUGUAGGCCAAUAAAAAUCAAGUUUUCGAAAGAGACUGCAGAAGGCACCCGAAAUGAAGUUCAAAACAUCAAGGAACAAGAAGAGCAGCUCCAACCUUUUCAUACGAUUGUGAACGGAAAAGAAGUCACUGUAUCCUACAAAUUGGCCUUAACAAUGGUUGACGGAAAAGUCUGCAAUUCACUAACAUCUACUGCAUCAAGUCAACGAUGUUAUCUUUGCGGUGCUACAUCCAAAGAAUUCAACGACAUCGAAAACAUUUUGAAGGGGAAAAUAAAUGAAGAUCAUUUACAAUAUGGAAUAUCAUCACUGCACGCGUGGAUUCGUUUUUUCGAGUGCUUUAUACAUAUUUCAUACAGAUUACAAAUCGAAAAAUGGCAGCCCGAUAAGAAAAGCAUCGAAAGUCGGAAAAAGACCAUCCAAAAAGGUUUCCGUGAGAACGAUUGGGAAUUUUGAUUGAUCAACCAAAACAAGGAUAUGGCAGCACGAAUGACGGUAAUACUGCUGAUCGUUUCUUUAAAAAUUCCGAUGUUUCCGUAUCUCUAACGGGAAUAGAUGAGGAUCUAAUCAAAAGAUUCCACGUGAUUUUGCAAAUAAUAUCGUGCGGGUUUGAAAUAAAUGUUGACGAAUUUCAAUUUUCAAAAUUACGCUGUAGAAACAGCCCAUAGAUACGUGCUACUAUAUCCUUGGUAUUACAUGCCGACUACUGUGUACAAACUUUUAAUUCACGGCGCAAAAAUAAUAGGGUUAUCCAUGUUGCCGAUAGGACAGAUAUCCGAGGAAGCCCAGGAAUCUUGCAAUAAAUACAUAAAAUCAUUUAGAUUUAGAUUUAGUAGGGAACAAAAUAUGGAGGAUGUAUUUGCGCGGCUUUUGAUUGCAUCUGACCCUGUUAUCUCAAGUUUGCAUAAACUAUCAGCUAAGUCAAGCAAAUCAUUAUCGCGUGAAGCCAUGGCUUUGUUGGAAUCGCCAACUGCAAACAAACCAAGAGUUUCCCAUUCUACUAUAUUUUACACAUGUACGUAAAAAUAAAUUAUUUCUAUUCAAAACCCUCCCGCACCAAAUUCCAUGAGAAUUGAUUCAAGUUUCAAUAAAAUUUACCGUCAUUUUUGGGCGAUCAUUUUGUUUUUUGGAAGUUUGUCUUCAAAUUCGUGUUUAGCGCCCUCAAAAACCCCUCGUAAUAAUUCUGAUGGCGAUUCGAUAAUACCUUCGAUUUUUGGCCAGCGAUUCGGGAUUUGGAACCACGGCGUCCACCGGACACUUUGACAAAUUGGAUAAAAUGUAUCUUCGUUAUUAACGUUAUAACCAUAUGAUAUUCCGGUGUUAUUAUCAUCAGCAUUGUUAUUAUCUUUGUUAUCAUGAUUGCUACCUAAUAGAACCCAUCAGUAUCCCCGUAUGAACCUAUAAUAAUCUUUUUAAUUCCCUGAAAUUGAGAACAUCAGCUCCUCGUGUAGCAUUAUAAUAGCACUGCGUCACGUAAAUUUCUCUGACGAAUUUUUUUAUAGUAUCAAGAAAGUCCACGGUAAUGAGGGUAAAGUCCCUUGUUGAUUGCUUGUGGAAAUCGAUGAGGACGUCGUCUGAUAAGAAAUUGUUAAAUCCAUUUUUUAAAAUAAAAUAGGGGCUGCUUGGCUGGAAGGACCCGCAUACAUACACGCCGCGACAUUUUAGCUUAGGAGAUGACACCCGCGGUUCUUCUGAUAUUGGGAUUCCCUGUUCACGACUAACAAAUUAUUAAAACGAUUACGCUCCGGAGAAAAGAUUCAUGGUAUCGAAGAAGCGAUCACAGGCUUACAGACCCUAUAACGAUGGAAGGAACACUAAUGGUCAAUCCUGCUGACAAUGAGCUUUUGAGGACGAUCCCACAAAAUUAUGGUAACUAUCCAAACGAAAGAGCUGAUUCCAACUAUUAUCAUCGUCUCAAUUUGUAAUCUUAUUUAUUUAAUCCGAAUCCUAACUAUUAACGACCGUGACGAGUCGAAAACUUCAGGUUCACAUACGUAAUGAAAAAAUGUAUCUAACUGGUAGCAGGUAAAUAAAAGUUGCGUGAACCUAAAUCAAAUCGCGCAAUGUUUACAUGCUCCACUUAUGAACACGGUUUGUGUACAUACGUGUUAUGCAGAAUUCGCGGUUUCCGAAAUGCGGUGGUUCAAACAAUUUUAGACUGACUACAAAUUCCGUAUCUCCAGAAAUGACGUGGGUAAACGAAUUCAAGUAUAGGUCCGAUCAUUUCACUAGUAGGUGCGAGGGCGACAAAAAAGCGAGUGUGGGUACACCUACGCAGCGGACGAGUAUCGUCUACUAUUUUUCCUACCAUCGUGCGCAAAGUUCGAUUUUGCGCACGAUGGUAGGAAAACGUAUCUGAAUCGAGUCCUAGACUAAUAAUAGAAAGCCAGAUAUUGUUCGAGAAAAAAACAUGUUUAUCGAUGCCUUUAUUUAUGAAAUUCAUGUUGCGAUUGUUCAUACAAAGUUGAACGCAAUUUUUCAAUCUUACUGCAGUAAAUUAUUGGCGAGACACUAUUUAUUAAAUUUCUCAUAAUGCAUCCAUCAAUUUUAAAGUCAAUCUCAAGAAAAAUUGAAUAAAUAAUUGAGAAAAAUGGACCAAAUAUUAAUAUGAAAAUAUCUGCACGAUCGAACGAAACGAUUUAGGCAACACUUAGUCGGCUACCAUAUGCCACGUCUUAUAUUCUCUUGGGGAAAAUUUUCUGUUUCCUUCACUAUUCGCGAUGAAGAAUGAUUUUCGAUCAUUAUAGCCCUACUGUACAAAUUCAGAAACUUGUUGUGAAAUAUUUCCUUGCGAUUUAAUCGACUUUCUAUAUUCGUGGCAUAUUAGUGGUGUAAUUUUGUUUUCCUACCAUCGUGCGCAAAGUUCGAUUUUGCGCACGCAUUUGCGUUCGCAAAGUACCACUUUCCCGCACGCUAAGAAGAGCGUGCGGGAAUAUAGUUAAGCGUGCGGGAAUAUAGUUAAGCGUGCGAGAAUGUAGCUAAGCGUGCGAGAAAUCGAACUUUGCGCACGAUGGUAGGAAAAAUAGUAGGGGAAACCGGGGCAAGUUGGAGGCUGGGGCAAGAUGACGAAUUGAUUGUUUUUAGAAUAUUUUGACAGAUAGCGCUGGGAGCUGAGUCGUGCUAGCAGAAAAAGUUUGACAAUGACAUCUGAUAAGGCAACGAAGAGUGCUGUCGUUACAGCCUAUGUAAAGAAACUUGCUUGGGAAAAUCUCACGAAGGGCGCUAUUGUUAAUCAUCGCACAUCACAUGGAAUAACUCCUCUUCUUGCGGCGGUAGAACAUGGUGACAUUGACUUGAUCAUACUCAUCUGCACUCACAAUCAGCCUAAAAGCAUAGAUAUAUCUAUGCUAAAAGCCCUAUCAACCUGCAGGAAAAGACUAUACACAUAUCUGAAAUUCUCCAUCUUUUCCAUAACGUUAAAGUUGAUCAUUGGUUUUUCUUUUUUAUUAAUGACAAUAAUUGUCGUUUCAUAUAGGGUCAACCCCCUUGCAUUUGUGGGUUCUGUACGGCCACAGAGUAAUUAUGCUCGGGCUACUACGUCGAGGAGCAUUAGUAAAUUGUUCGGAUACCCUAGGCCGUUAUCCACUGCAUUUUGCAGCAACUCAAAAGGACGUCGGAAGUGCGAGAAUGCUAAUAAGAUUUGGUGAUCGCAUCAAUGUCUACGACGCUUUUUCCGACAGCCCUCUUUCUAUCAGCGUUUUACGUAGGCCUUGCGUAGCAAUGGCGAGGCUCUUUUUAGCUAACCGGUAUUACUCGCUGAAAUUUUAUAAAUACUUUACUGCAUGGGUUCUUUAUUUAUUUAUUCGAUUUUGAAUGAAACAGAGCGUCCUCUGGUCCGCCGCCCGAUUGGUCUUGGUAUGGGCCUUCUUCUAGAAGCGGUUCUGAGUGCGCGUCGCACUUCAAACUUCGAAGCUAUCAAGGUUCUAAUUUGGGCAGGAGAGGGUUGUAAAUAUCGUAGAUCCCAUGGGAUUGAAAACGCCUCUACAUUUAGUCGCGAUUAACGGACAUCUGGAAUUAGCUGAAAGGAGACCCCGCCAAGUGCCACCCACCGAUUUUGAUAAAACUUCGCAGGAUGAAAGAGUAACAAAAAUAAACGGAUACGUGUUUUGGCUUAUCCGUAGACGCUCAACCGUUUUCGAUUUCGAGAAAAUUACGGUUGAAACAUGGAAAAUUUUGACGCCGCUUCAUGAGUCCGCCCGCGCGCUAUCGCCUCAAGCGUGUCGGCGGUGCAGCGGCUAACGCGACAGCUUCGAGAUGUGACGCUCCGCGCUUGAGUCCUGAUCAAAAUUUUUUUUUUUUUUUUUCUCAAAUUCUUCGUCAAAGUAUGCUGCGCGAACGUUCCUUAUUUUAUUGAUAAAUACAAGGACGCUGUAUUUAAAUUACAAUUCAUCAUUUCGAAGCAACUGUCCGUUAUUCUGAAUUAUGCUACGGGGUAGGUUUUCAGGUAGGCUCGCUAGCCGUAGCCAACAGGCCAUUUUUUUUUAGAAAAUAAUACGAAAUAUUUUGGACUGGUAAAAAACUAUAUUCGACGUCUCCAAAACUGCCCCGUCCUGAUUGCUCAGCGGAGAGAAAUCACAAGCAGACGCGACGCAAUAAAAAUACACUCCCUGGUCCACAAUCAAUUGCGGGCACCAGCAUUUGAAAAAAUGAUUCGGUACGCAUGAUUCGCCGCAAAAUUAUCGGCGGAUCGCGAGGUUUUCAAUAACGUCAACGACAUUGCGUUUCCGGACGACGUUCACACCCAGAACUGUGAUUGCGGCCAAAGUGCCUUCGCGCGUUGCUCCUGGUGCAGAGAAUAUUUAUGUUUUGAAUGUUGCUAUGAUAGGUACCAUCCCGACGAAUGCGCUACAUAUCGUUGAAUUAAUCGGGAGAUAAUGUAAUAAUUAACAUAAAAAUUAAGCCACUCGCUGCUAUCCAUUUGUUAUUUCCAAAUAUUUUUGAACCCAAUACCCUGUAGCAUAAUUGUAAUGAUUGUAAUUUAAAUACAGCGUCCUUGUAUUUAUCAAUAAAAUAAGGAACGUUCGCGCAGCAUACUUUGACGAAGAAUUUGAGAAAAAAAAAAAAAAAAAUUUUGAUCAGGACUCAAGCGCGGAGCGUCACAUCUCGAAGCUGUCGCGUUAGCCGCUGCACCGCCGACACGCUUGAGGCGAUAGCG